rnacentral:lncRNA from 1 species
GGUGAAACAGUUAGUUUUGGCACGAAAGACAACAUUACGACUUACUAUUUUUAUCAAGGCAUGUUUCCUGGUGUGUACUCUGUCCAGGUUUGUGCUGCUACGACUGUCGGAAAUGGCACGGUGGAAUCCCAAUCGGUAACUGUUAGACCAGGUGCCCCGUUGAAACUUAUCGAAGAAACAGCAGAUAGUUUAUUGUAAGGCCAAGUAAGG